AUUGAACGCUGGCGGCAGGCUUAACACAUGCAAGUCGAGCGGGGGAAGGUAGCUUGCUACCGGACCUAGCGGCGGACGGGUGAGUAAUGCUUAGGAAUCUGCCUAUUAGUGGGGGACAACAUCUCGAAAGGGAUGCUAAUACCGCAUACGUCCUACGGGAGAAAGCAGGGGAUCUUCGGACCUUGCGCUAAUAGAUGAGCCUAAGUCGGAUUAGCGAGUUGGUGGGGUAAAGGCCUACCAAGGCGACGAUCUGUAGCGGGUCUGAGAGGAUGAUCCGCCACACUGGGACUGAGACACGGCCCAGACUCCUACGGGAGGCAGCAGUGGGGGAUAUUGGACAAUGGGGGGAACCCUGAUCCAGCCAUGCCGCGUGUGUGAAGAAGGCCUUAUGGUUGUAAAGCACUUUAAGCGAGGAGGAGGCUACUUUAGUUAAUACCUAGAGAUAGUGGACGUUACUCGCAGAAUAAGCACCGGCUAACUCUGUGCCAGCAGCCGCUGUAA
rnacentral:rRNA from 1 species